rnacentral:rRNA from 1 species
UACAGAGGGUGCGAGCGUUAAUCGGAGUUACUGGGCGUAAAGGGCGCGUAGGCGGAUAUAUGAGUGUGGUGUGAAAGCCCUGGGCUUAACCUGGGAAGUGCAUUGCAAACGAUGUAUCUGGAGUACAAGAGAGGGUGGCGGAAUUUCCGGUGUAGCGGUGAUGUGCGUAGAGAUCGGAAGGAACGUCAAUGGCGAAGGCAGCCACCUGGCUUAAUACUGACGCUGAGGCGCGAAAGCGUGGGUAGCGAACAGG